AAUGGGGGCAACCCUGAUCCAGCCAUGCCGCGUGCGGGAAGAAGGCCUUCGGGUUGUAAACCGCUUUUGUUCGGGAAGAAAUCCUCUGGGCUAAUACCCCGGGGGGAUGACGGUACCGGAAGAAUAAGCACCGGCUAACUACGUGCCAGCAGCCGCGGUAAUACGUAGGGUGCGAGCGUUAAUCGGAAUUACUGGGCGUAAAGCGUGCGCAGGCGGUUGUGCAAGACAGAUGUGAAAUCCCCGGGCUUAACCUGGGAACUGCAUUUGUGACUGCACGGCUAGAGUGCGGCAGAGGGGAGUGGAAUUCCGCGUGUAGCAGUGAAAUGCGUAGAUAUGCGGAGGAACACCGAUGGCGAAGGCAGCUCCCUGGGCCUGCACUGACGCUCAUGCACGAAAGCGUGGGGAGCAAACAGGAUU
rnacentral:rRNA from 1 species